rnacentral:rRNA from 1 species
UACGUAGGGCGCAAGCGUUAUCCGGAAUUAUUGGGCGUAAAGAGCUCGUAGGCGGUUUGUCGCGUCUGCUGUGAAAGACCGGGGCUCAACCCGGGAAGUGCACUCGAUACUGCCAGGCUAGAGUAUCGGAGAGGUUGGUGGAAUUCUCGGUGUAGAGGUGAAAUUCGUAGAUAUCGAGAGGAACACCGGUGGCGAAGGCGGCCAACUGGACGAAAUACUGACGCUGAGACUCGAAAGCGUGGGGAGCAAACAGG